rnacentral:rRNA from 1 species
UACGUAGGGUGCAAACGUUAAUCGGAAUUACUGGGCGUAAAGCGUGCGCAGGCGGCUUUGCAAGACAGAUGUGAAAUCCCCGGGCUUAACCUGGGAACUGCAUUUGUGACUGCAUGGCUGGAGUGCGGCAGAGGGGGAUGGAAUUCCGCGUGUAGCAGUGAAAUGCGUAGAUAUGCGGAGGAACACCGAUGGCGAAGGCAAUCCCCUGGGCCUGCACUGACGCUCAUGCACGAAAGCGUGGGGAGCAAACAGG